AUGGGUAAACGGGAGGCGCUCGUCGCUAUUGCGGUCGUGGCGGUAUUUCUCGCGGCGUCGGCCGGGAAAGUGGACGCAGCUAAGGCGGCGGCCAAGGGGAAGUACCGAGCGCUGUUCAACUUCGGGGACUCACUGGCUGAUGUUGGCAAUCUUCUGAUAGCAAACGGCGUCUCAGACAACCUCACCACCGCGAGGCUGCCUUACGGGCAGACCUACUUCGGCAAACCCACCGGCCGGUGCUCCGACGGCCGCCUAGUCAUCGACCACCUGGCGCAAGAAUUCGGGUUGUCGCUGCUGCCGCCGUCCAAGGCCAAUCACUCGGACUUCAAGCACGGGGCCAACUUUGCCAUCACCGGCGCGACGGCGCUCGAUACGCCCUACUUCGAAGCUAGGGGCCUCGGUGCGGUCGUCUGGAACUCCGGUGCCCUCAUGACCCAAAUCCAGUGGUUCCGUGAUCUGAAGCCUUCCUUCUGCAACUCCACCAAGGAAGAAUGCAAGGAAUUCUAUGCCAACUCGCUGUUCGUUGUUGGCGAGUUUGGUGGCAACGACUACAAUGCGCCCCUAUUUGCAGGCAAGGGCCUUACAGAGGCCUACAAGUUCAUGCCGGAUGUCAUCCAGGGCAUCUCCGACGGCAUCGAGGAAUUGAUCGCUGAGGGGGCAGUAGAUCUUAUUGUGCCAGGGGUGAUGCCCACUGGGUGCUUUCCCGUGUACUUGAACAUGCUCGAUAUGCCAGCCCACGAGUAUGGCUCCCGGAGCGGGUGCAUCCGUCAGUACAACACGUUCUCAUGGGUGCACAAUGCACAUCUCAAGAGAGCACUAGAGAAGCUCCGGCCCAAGUACCCCAAUGUGCGGAUCAUAUACGGCGACUACUACACACCAGUUGUCCAGUUCAUUCUUCAACCUGAGAAGUUUGGAUUUUACAUGCAGUUACCUAGGGCAUGUUGUGGGUCUCCUGGGUCUGUUGCCAAAGCCGUUUACAACUUCAAUCUCACAGCCAAAUGUGGGGAGCCUGGUGCCACUGCUUGCGCUCAUCCAUCGACCCAUUGGAGCUGGGACGGUAUUCACUUGACGGAGGCUGCUUAUGGUCAUAUCGCCAGGGGUUGGUUAUAUGGCCCUUUUGCAGACCAACCGAUUGUUCAGUCCCCGUAG
rnacentral:rRNA from 1 species